rnacentral:rRNA from 1 species
UGGGAUAAUACCCCAUAGACUAUGGAUGCUGGAAUGCUCUGUAGCCGAAAGGUCCGCCGCCAUAGGAUGAGUCUGCGGCCGAUUAGGUUGUUGUUGGGGUAACGGCCCAACAAGCCUGUAAUCGGUACGGGUUGUGGGAGCAAGAGCCCGGAGAUGGAUUCUGAGACACGAAUCCAGGCCCUACGGGGCGCGGCAGGCGCGAAAACUUUGCAAUGCGGGAAACCGUGACAAGGGAACUCCGAGUGCCCGUAAAUUCGGGCUGUCCAUCAGUUUAAAAAACUGGUGAAGAAAGGGCCGGGCAAGACCGGUGCCAGCCGCCGCGGUAAUACCGGCGGCUCGAGUGGUGGCCACUAUUACUGGGCUUAAAGCGUCCGUAGCUGGUCUGUUAAGUCUCUGGGGAAAUCUACCGGCUUAACCGGUAGGCGUCUCAGGGAUACUGGCAGACUAGGGACCGGGAGAGGUGAGGGGUACUCCAGGGGUAGGAGUGAAAUCCUGUAAUCCUUGGGGGACCACCUGUGGCGAAGGCGCCUCACCAGAACGGCUCCGACAGUGAGGGACGAAAGCUGGGGGAGCAAACCGGAUUAGAUACCCGGGUAGUCCCAGCUGUAAACGAUGCGCGUUAGGUGUAUCGGUGACCACGAGUCACCGAGGUGCCGAAGGGAAACCGUGAAACGUGCCGCCUGGGAAGUACGGUCGCAAGGCUGAAACUUAA